GAUGAACGCUGGCGGCGUGCCUAAUACAUGCAAGUCGAGCGAACAGACGAGGAGCUUGCUCCUCUGACGUUAGCGGCGGACGGGUGAGUAACACGUGGAUAACCUACCUAUAAGACUGGGAUAACUUCGGGAAACCGGAGCUAAUACCGGAUAAUAUAUUGAACCGCAUGGUUCAAUAGUGAAAGACGGUUUUGCUGUCACUUAUAGAUGGAUCCGCGCCGCAUUAGCUAGUUGGUAAGGUAACGGCUUACCAAGGCAACGAUGCGUAGCCGACCUGAGAGGGUGAUCGGCCACACUGGAACUGAGACACGGUCCAGACUCCUACGGGAGGAAGCAGUAGGGAAUCUUCCGCAAUGGGCGAAGGCCUGACGGAGCAACGCCGCGUGAGUGAUGAAGGUCUUCGGAUCGUAAAACUCUGUUAUUAGGGAAGAACAAAUGUGUAAGUAACUAUGCACGUCUUGACGGUACCUAAUCAGAAAGCCACGGCUAACUACGUG
rnacentral:rRNA from 1 species